GAAGCUGGCGCUUUCUGUUCCGCCCCCUCUCGCUGUGUAUGGCGAGUAAAGCCGGAGGACGUUGGGUGAAAUCGGUCUAUAAAUAAAGCUAGGAAUGGCAUCUGCGUGGUUUGGGUUACGCCGGUUCAGCAUCGUUUUGUUAUCCCUGAUUAUUGUUUCGUUUUUUUUUAAAAAUAAGACGUAUUUCCGUUUCCGAUUUUAAGUUGCCAGAACUGCGCAGGAUUUCCAGAACUUGCUGUUUUUAUUUCAGAUUUCCAGCAUCCACUGUGUUUUGCUUUUGUAUUAGUUAGUUAUUGCUGUGUACUUUUCCUGCAUUACUAUACCUCAUAGUAUUUCAUUGUCUUUGUAAUGUUGUGGGAUGAUCUGAGGUUGUGCAAAGUGCUAUAUAAAUGCAAGUUCUUUCCUGUUCCCAAUAACUUACAUAUACUUCCUCUAACCUAGUAUAUUCUAACUUAAUAUGCUGCGCAUUGUAAUUUUUUUAAUGAAAUGUGUGUAAUUAUUUGAAAAUGUCAUCUUUUUUCUCUUUACUCUUUUAUAUUUAGGCUGGAUAUGAUGUGACAAAAAUUGUAAAAAAAUAUUUGUUCUAAUACUUUGGUUUGAAAAUAUUUUCUGAAUGAAUGACAAACAUGCAAGAAGUUAUGAAAUAAAAACAAAAUAUUGGAAAACACUCAGCAGGUCAAGCAGCAUAUAGGAUAGAGAAACAGUUAACUUUCAUAUUCAUUAAGUUAUAUUAUGGAUUUCAGCUCCAUUCUUCCUGUCACAACUAACCCCCAUCACUAUCUGCUUUAUGUUCAAUUUGAUCUUACCUAAAAAAUUAUGUGACUCCAAUUUAGGAUAUAUUUGCACUAAGGGAGGCUGUAUUACGUGAUAUGGGGCUAAGUUAAUAUUCUCAUUGACCUGAAUCAGGAUAGUAAUGGGGGAAGAGGAAGGGAAUCAUAUACAAACUUUGAAAUGCAUAUUUUAGGCCAGAGUUUAACUCAUUUUAGCUAAAACAUCUUCGCAGCAUGUGUUUAAUAAAAACAAUGCCAGCUUGCAGGAUCACUUUGACUGGUAAAAAAUGCAGAGCUAUAAAUAGUUUGUGCUGGCAAUCCUCAUGUGUAAGAUUGGCACCAAUUGCCCUAUUACUCAAACAUGUGGAAAACUAUUCAUCUGUAAGAGCAAAUACAUCAAAAUUUCGGUGACCUAUGAAAAUAUGGUACAUUUUAAAACCAAAGCAUUUAUUUAUCUAUCAUUUCUAAUGUAUACUGACCAGGCCUUGAGCAUGGUAUAAGCCAUGAUUUAAUUGAUCAUCUAUCAUCCAGUAUAUAUUUAAGGUCAACUUUUAGAACAUGUAAUUCGAUUAUUACAGUGAAGUGGGGAAUACUUUUGUGUUGCAAUUUAGCAGACAAUCUUUCGAACAACAAGUAUUUUCCUUAUGCUAGUCAGGGCAGCUUAAAACAACAAAAUGUUAAGAAAAUGUUUAACAUCUGUGGGCAAAUACUAUUAAUGUCAUGAAUGUGAGAUUAUAUUUAACAUUGCUUAUUGCUACCACAGUGUUGUUUUUAACACAGCAGCUGUUCUUUGGAUCUUUAAAUGUAAUUAAUAUAUUCUGUAGUGUUUCCAGUGGAAUAACUGAAUCAACACAAUAACUAAAUAAUAAACAAAGCAGUGGUGUGAAUUUUC